rnacentral:rRNA from 1 species
GAGCGGCAAGGGGGAGCAAUCCCCCCUGGAGCGGCGGACUGGUGAGUAACGNGUGGAUAACNUGCCCUCCGGCCGGGGACAGCCGCUGGAAACAGCGGGUAAUACCGGAUGGGCCGUUCUGCGGUGGCGGGACGGGGAAAGGAGCCAGGGCUCCGCCGGGGGAGGGGUCCGCGUCCCAUUAGCUGGUUGGGGGUGUAAAGGACCACCAAGGCGAUGAUGGGUAGCCGGCCUGAGAGGGUGGACGGCCACACUGGGACUGAGAGACGGCCCAGACUCCUACGGGAGGCAGCAGCUAAGAAUAUUCCGCAAUGGACGAAAGUCUGACGGAGCGACGCCGCGUGGAUGAGGAAGGCCGAAAGGUUGUAAAGUCCUUUUGCGGACGAAGAAUAAGCGCGGGAGGGAAUGCCUGUGUGAUGACGAUAGUCCGNG